UACGUAGGGGGGCAAGCGUUGUCCGGAAUUAUUGGGCGUAAAGCGCGCGCAGGCGGUUAAUUAAGUUGGGUGUUUAAGCCCGGGGCUCAACCCCGGUUCGCAUCCAAAACUGGUUGACUUGAGUGUAGGAGAGGAAAGUGGAAUUCCACGUGUAGCGGUGAAAUGCGUAGAGAUGUGGAGGAACACCAGUGGCGAAGGCGGCUACCUGGCCUAAUACUGACACUGAGGAACGAAAGCGUGGGGAGCAAACAGG
rnacentral:rRNA from 1 species